AUUGAACGCUGGCGGCAGGCUUAACACAUGCAAGUCGAGCGAGCGGCGGACGGGUGAGUAAUGUCUGGGAAACUGCCUGAUGGGGGGGGAUCACUACUGGACACGGUCGCUAAUCCCGCAUACCAUCAGAUGUGCCCAGAUGGGAUUAGCUAGUAGGUGGGGUAAUGGCUCACCUAGGCGACGAUCCCUAGCUGGUCUGAGAGGAUGAUCAGCAACACUGGAACUGAGACACGGCCCAGACUCCUACGGGAGGCAGCAGUGGGGAAUAUUGCACAAUGGGCGCAAGCCUGAUGCAGCCAUGCCGCGUGUGUGAAGAAGGCCUUCGGGUUGUAAAACACUUUCAGCGGGGAGGCGUUACUCGCAGAAGAAGCACCGGCUAACUCCGUGCCAGCAGCCGCGGUAAUUC
rnacentral:rRNA from 1 species